rnacentral:rRNA from 1 species
AUUGAACGCUGGCGGCAUGCCUUACACAUGCAAGUCGAACGGCAGCACGGGAGCAAUCCUGGUGGCGAGUGGCGAACGGGUGAGUAAAGCAUCGGAACGUGCCCAGUCGUGGGGGAUAACGUAGCGAAAGCUACGCUAAUACCGCAUACGAUCUGUGGAUGAAAGCGGGGGACCGUAAGGCCUCGCGCGAUUGGAGCGGCCGAUGUCAGAUUAGGUAGUUGGUGAGGUAAAGGCUCACCAAGCCGACGAUCUGUAGCUGGUCUGAGAGGACGACCAGCCACACUGGGACUGAGACACGGCCCAGACUCCUACGGGAGGCAGCAGUGGGGAAUUUUGGACAAUGGGCGCAAGCCUGAUCCAGCAAUGCCGCGUGCAGGAUGAAGGCCUUCGGGUUGUAAACUGCUUUUGUACGGAGCGAAACGGCUUCCACUAAUACUGGGGGCUAAUGACGGUACCGUAAGAAUAAGCACCGGCUAACCACGUGCCAGCCGCCGCAGUAACAC